GGAGUCUGGGCCGUGUCUCAGUCCCAAUGUGGCCGUUCACCCUCUCAGGCCGGCUACUGAUCGUCGCCUUGGUGGGCCGUUACCCCGCCAACAAGCUAAUCAGACGCGGGUCCAUCCUGUACCACCGGAGUUUUUCACACUCUGACAUGCGUCAGUGUGCGCUUAUGCGGUAUUAGCAGCUGUUUCCAACUGUUAUCCCCCUGUAUAGGGUAGGUUACCCACGCGUUACUCACCCGUCCGCCACUCAGUCACCUCAAGGCGAAUCAAUCAGAAGCAAGCUUCGUCAAUCUUCAAUUAGAGGUGCUUCGUUCGACUUGCAUGUGUUAAGCACGCCGCCAGCGUUCAUC
rnacentral:rRNA from 1 species